CCUACUGGAGGCAGCAGUGGGGAAUAUUGGACAAUGGGCGAAAGCCUGAUCCAGCAAUGCCGCGUGAGUGAUGAAGGCCUUAGGGUCGUAAAGCUCUUUUACCCGGGAUGAUAAUGACAGUACCGGGAGAAUAAGCCCCGGCUAACUCCGUGCCAGCAGCCGCGGUAAUACGGAGGGGGCUAGCGUUGUUCGGAAUUACUGGGCGUAAAGCGUGCGUAGGCGGUUAUUCAAGUCAGAGGUGAAAGCCCGGGGCUCAACCCCGGAACGGCCUUUGAAACUAGGUAGCUAGAAUCUUGGAGAGGUCAGUGGAAUUCCGAGUGUAGAGGUGAAAUUCGUAGAUAUUCGGAAGAACACCAGUGGCGAAGGCGACUGACUGGACAAGUAUUGACGCUGAGGCACGAAAGCGUGGGGAGCAAACAGGAUUAGAUACCCUGGUAGUCCACGCCGUAAACGAUGAUAACUAGCUGUUCGGGUACUUGGUAUCUGAGUGGCGCAGUUAACGCAUUAAGUUAUCCGCCUGGGGAGUACGGUCGCAAGNUUAAAACUCAAAUGAAUUGACGG
rnacentral:rRNA from 1 species